UUAAAGUAUAGCACCUUGACUCUUAGGCCUUCCGGUUGCUACUAGGGGGCGUCAUGACUUUAAGUAAAUAUCGGCCUUUAGAUGUCGUCAGGGUUGGACUCUUAUGAAUCCUGAAAGAGG